rnacentral:rRNA from 1 species
UACGGAGGGUGCAAGCGUUAUCCGGAUUUACUGGGUUUAAAGGGUGCGCCGGCGGAUAUGUAAGUCAGUGGUGAAAUCUCUAGGCUUAACCUGGAAAUUGCCGUUGAUACUAUAUAUCUUGAAUGCUGUGGAGGUAAGCGGAAUAUGUCAUGUAGCGGUGAAAUGCUUAGAUAUGACAUAGAACACCUAUUGCGAAGGCAGCUUACUACGCAGAUAUUGACGCUCAUGCACGAAAGCGUGGGGAUCAAACAGG